rnacentral:lncRNA from 1 species
UGGCAUCAUAACCCUUGUUUUUAUCCUUCCCUUCUCAGUUCCCUUUCCCCACUCUACUUAGGAUUUCCUUGAGAAUAUAUCCUAUUGAUUCACUUGCACCAGAAUCUUCUCUCUGGAUUUGCUUCUCGGAACCUAGCUUGAUGGAAAUGAGGGCAUUUGGGUGUCUCUUUUCCUUUAGGGGAAGUUUCAUUCGUUGCCCAGGCUGGAGUGCAGUAGUGCGAUCUUGGCUCACUGCAGCCUCUGUCUCCUGCCCACAGGUUCAAGUGAUUCUCCUGCUUCAGCCUCCUGAGUAGCUGGGCUUAUAGGCACCCACCACCAUGCCCAGCUAAUUUUCAUAUUUUUAGUAGAGAUGGGGUUUCACCAUGUCGUCCAGGCUGGUCUUGAACUCCUGGCCUCAAGUGAUCUCCACCUACCUCAGUCUCUCAAAGUGCUGGGAUUACAGGUGUGAGCCACUGUGCCUGGUCAAAAUGGGAGCAUUUGGAUUUCUUGACCAUGGCUCAUGUUUCCAAUCAUGGUGACUCUUUCUCCUGCAACAGGAAGGACCUUCUAAUGGAAAACAACAACAACCAAUCGUACUAUCGGGUGAUAAGCAAGAGAAGACAAGGAACCAUCAGGACUUUACAUAUCAGGACAAGUCUAUAGAAUUUCAAAUUGGACUUUUCUUGAGCAAAGACAGCACAGCCAUGGAUUGCUGUCAAGUCCCAGACUUCCCAUUUGUAGAGAUGAAGUUCAGGUGUUUGGAGGGGCUGCUCCCCCGUCUCCAUACAAGGAUUUUAGGAAGACAAGAUGGUAUGGAAUUUAAUAACUUUUCUGACAAUACUAUAAAGGUGAUGGCAGGGCUAUGUGUCCCUGAGAUUUUAAUGGUUUGUAAUACUUUAAGGGGACCCGAUGAUCCUUCUGUAACCUACUUCAGAGGAAAACAUUUAUUAUUAACACUGGUUUAACACUUAACUUUCUAGGGUAUUUGUGGAUGACACAGUCAUACAUCUGCCUUUUUAUAGUGCUUUGCAGCAGAGCACAAGACCUUCUGGCUGACACCUCAUAGAUCAUCAAAAUUAAGACCUCUAGGCAAGCAGAAGAAAGUAGGGCGGGGGUAGGGUGGGGACAGCAACUAACUCAAAAGGUUUCCAAGUUAACUUUCCUUUAGAGAGAGAACAUUUUCAUUACAGAGCAAAUUAUUCUUAACAUUAAGACGUUCUUGUUUCCAUGGCAACCCACAACAAUCUGAAAUAGUUCUCGGUGGCCAUACAGCAAAGUGAUGUUUCCUAUCUGAUUGGUGGCUGGCAAUGAUGAACUCAGAGCUGGGAUCAGCCAGCCAAGGGUCACCCUCCAACUGCUUGGCAUUCAACACCCCAGCCCUUCUGCGUUAAAUCCAGAAGAAAUCUGCAACUAAGAGAUCCAGGACUAAAGGUUUUCUGUCUCCAGCAUAAACCGUAUCACUAUAGUGUAUGAAGUUUUGCUGGAGACUUAAAAGAUUAUAUUAUCAGAAAACUAUGAUACAAGGAAGAAAAAUGUCUAAGCUGAGUGAACAUCCCCUCUUGGUCCAGGGUUGGCUGACAGUUUGGAAUCUCUUUUGCCUGUCCAUAAAAAGACAAGCAAGGGACAAUUUUAUGUAAUUUUGGAUACUCUUGUGCCCAUGAGCCUCCUUCCCUCAAAGUGACAAAAUGUGACAUCUGGGGAUUGCCUUAUUUUCCACCGCUCUUUAGCCAAUCAUGUCUGCAGAACUUUAUCUGGGCCACAAAACCUACUUUGUAACAAAGGACCCCAACCUUUAUGUUGAAAUGGAAUAACCAGGUUUUUGUCUCCAUGCCCUGGGACCAGUAAUACUUUUGAGAAGGAAAAGAGAAAAUAACCAUGACAAAGAAAAUUCUCUGAGAAGAGGAUAAGGACCCCAAAACAGCCACUGGGACAAUUCUUGCUGGAGAUGACAUGAAACCUUGCAUCUUUUCCACUAUGAUGCGGCUGCUGUUUUCUCUGGGCUGUCAGGAAUCAACGGUGUGUUAGAUGAAAUGUAAAACCCAUCCAUCUGCUGGAAUCCUUUUCCUUGUCUUCUUUUGUCAACGGUGUGACAUUAACAACACCAUAUGACAGUUGCGCCAUGCAUCAAGUACAUGUCUGUUGGUUUCCAAAUGAUUUGUCCAGAGAGAAAUAGAGCAUUACGACCCAAAAAAGGCAGGCGAGGAGAAGGAGCUCUGCCCCCUGCUGUUGCUGAUCAGUAAAGCUCCCCUAGAGGCACUGUACCACGGAAGCUGGAGAGAAGCAGAAAAAGCCUUCUGCGCUCUGGGAAAAAGAAAAGCAACCGUGGGGAGAGGCUGCAACUGCCACUACUGGAAGGAUAAAAACAACUGCCUGUAGCCAUCGCCUGCCCUCAUGGCUGUCCUUUCAUCCAAUCUGGAAUAGUCACUACCGACUUAUGCCAUAUUUUUUGUUUUUAAAUCCUAAACGAUGAGACAUAUCCAUCUUCUGUCUCAGUUGUAUGUGUGUGUGUGUGAUGGGGUGGAUAUUUACGAGCAACAACAAAACCCCUGAAACUGUAGUUUUGAUCCACCAUGGCACAGAAGACUUUCCGGUAGGCGAGACGGGGGUGUCCGCCCAUAACCUUCAUGUGGAGGAAGACACAGGUCCUAUUUAACAUUACCCAUGUUUGCAUGACUAAUCAGAGGGCGUGCACUGCCGGUGAGUCGAUCAUAAAGGUGACCAAAUAGGACUGGAUUGUUUGGUGACUGACAAUAAACUGUUCAAGGCUGAUUUAAAAUGCUUGGAUCCAUUCCUCUUCUAGGAGCCUUGCUUCAAGUGCUUAUCUGCUCUCGUAGUCUCCUCCUCUGUGCCCUCCCCAAACACUCCAUUUUCUUCCAUGGCCCUCCUCCCUCCCUGCUUCCCUUUCCCUCUCCUGCCUGCACAAGUGCCAAUACAGAGUCUUCAUUUCCUUCCACCCCGGCUGUCCUUUCUCCCUGCUGAUGUAGGCAGGCCGGUGUCCAGGAUGAAAAUGGCUUUUCCUUUGACCCAGUGAACCUGAUGGGCAACGUCUCUGUAGGCCAGUGGGUGGGGAACACUUUUGAGUCACACUGGCAGAGAAAGAUGGGAGGAAGGGGCUUUGUCAGACCCCAGCAUUCCCUCCCUCAUCUAAUUUGGACCCAACCAACUCCAAGGCCUCCUAGUAUGAGAUUCAUCCCUCAUCAAUGUCUUUA